GACGAACGCUGGCGGCGUGCCUAAUACAUGCAAGUCGAGCGGACUGAAUGGGAGCUUGCUCUUGUUCGGUCAGCGGCGGACGGGUGAGUAACACGUGGGCAACCUGCCCGCAAGACCGGGAUAACUCCGGGAAACCGGAGCUAAUACCGGAUUACACCGAAGACCGCAUGGUCUUUGGUUGAAAGGCGGCGCAAGCUGCCACUUGCGGAUGGGCCCGCGGCGCAUUAGCUAGUUGGUGAGGUAACGGCUCACCAAGGCGACGAUGCGUAGCCGGCCUGAGAGGGUGACCGGCCACACUGGGACUGAGACACGGCCCAGACUCCUACGGGAGGCAGCAGUAGGGAAUCUUCCGCAAUGGGCGAAAGCCUGACGGAGCGACGCCGCGUGAGCGAAGAAGGCCUUAGGGUCGUAAAGCUCUGUUGUGAGGGACGAAGGAGCGCCGUUUGAAGAAGGCGGCGCGGUGACGGUACCUCACGAGGAAGCCCCGGCUAACUACGUG
rnacentral:rRNA from 1 species